rnacentral:tRNA from 1 species
GGGGACAUAGCUCAGCGGCACAGCACCUGCCUGGCAAGCACAAGGUCUUGAGUUCAAUUCCUAGUACCCCCA